UGAAAGUGUUUGUGUAUAAAACUUUCUAAAUAAAGAGUUGUUAUUUUUAAACUAAUUGAAGCUUUUAUUUGCAAUAAAAAUAAUCUGGUAAAUUUCAAUUUGUAUUAAGAAAAAUAUCAAUAACGUAGUCAACUGUUAACGGAUUUUUAAAAACAAAGCUGCGUUUUACUCAUGAAUACAUAAGUUCCUAUAUAAAAUACUGUAUAAAAAUCUCCAAACUUGGAAAACGGUGUAAAACUAAAAUCAAAUGUAUGUAAAUAUGUUUGAUGAUGAAAUUCACUCAUAUUUCUACAGGUUAUUUAAACAUCAUAUAUGUAUGUAUUUGUCAGUAUAAAGGCCUUUGCUUCUUUUUUCUAAAUCCGUUGAGAAACUUAAAAUCAAGUGCUUAAAGGUACAAAACUUAAUUUUUUACACAUAUCUGAAGAUUUUGGAGUCGUUUGGCAAAUUUAUAAAACAGAUUUUUGUACCUUUCCGAAAAAUGAUAUCACUUAACAGUUGAAGAUCUUGAAUCCGGGACGCUCCCUCAAAGGCAUUUGUUUCGAUAGCUAUAAUUUGAUUUCGCUUCAAAUCUAACUUUAUCAAAUGUGGUAGACGUCCAAACAAUCCAUCAGACUUAAUUCUUCCCAAUUCGUUGUCAUUAAGUAGCCUAAAAUUAUACAAUAUUUUGAAAUACCAAGUAUUUAUUAUGUAAUGGAAUAUCGCGUGGAAUUUCUUUUAGGCCACGGCCAGAGCAAUCAACAACUGUACCAUCACACUGGCACAUUGAAGGGCAAUCUGUUUCCAUGCGACACUCUCCAGAAAGUUUUAUUCUCAUCUCAUCCCAAGAACCUAAAAGGGAAUUUAUUUCGUAUUAAUUAUGAUUUCUUUUGCAGAUUUGUUUCAAAAUCGGGAGCUUCCAUUUUCACUUACACUUGAAUUUUUCAUCUCGUAAGGUUUCAAUCCGUCGACGAUGC